rnacentral:rRNA from 1 species
UACGUAGGGUCCAAGCGUUAUCCGGAAUCACUGGGCGUAAAGCGUGCGUAGGUGGCGCGUUAAGUGUGAUGUUAAAUCGUGUGGCUCAACCAUAUCGAUGCAUCGCAUACUGGCGUGCUAGAGGACAGCAGAGGCAAGUGGAAUUUGUAGUGUAGCAGUGAAAUGCGUAGAUAUUACAAGGAACACCAAUGGCGAAGGCAGCUUGCUGGGCUACUCCUGACACUGAGGUACGAAAGCGUGGGGAGCGAACAGG